rnacentral:lncRNA from 1 species
CUCCCCUCUGGCAAUGCAAUCAUCAGUUAUUGACUUUGGAGGAUGCUUGAAAGCACCACAUGUAACAUCUUCCAAAUCAUUUUCUUGAUAUCCAUCAUCAGAUUCUCAUUGAGUUUCCUGCUUCGCCUGAGAGGCCUUGCUAUAUAAGGGCUCCUGGUGUGCAGUCUAGCUAGAGGAGGUAGAGAAGGAAAUUUGGAUUCCUGCUGAGAUUCCUUGGAGAGAUCCAGACAUGAAGACCUUACUGAUUUUAGGACUUGUGCUCUUCUGUGGCCAGUUCACACUGAACUUGGCCCAGGAACAAUCCUCUGAGCCUGCCCAGGCAUCAGGGACAACAGCAACUGGAACAGAUGACAACACAAAGACUCCCUCAGACCCCAUCUUGUAUUUAAAAGCUAACAUACACCUUGAACUGUUGAAGAAGCUUCAGAAAUUCUAUGAAAUUGUUAAGAAAAUACCAUUUUGGGGAGAUAUUUUGGGAAUGUUUAAGAUUGAUGUUUCAAAUGCCAAAAUCUUGAAUAUUGACAUUACACAUAAAACCGGCAGUAGCAGUCUGUCUGCCAAUAUUCCCGUGGAUUUUACAUUGCACAUAAGAACACUCCUACACCAGAUUUCAGUCCAUGUCAAUGCAAACACAUCACUGGUUCUCACAACUGAAGAGAAUGGAAAUGGAAAAUAUCAUAUGGUUGUUUCUAAGUGUCAUUCAAGCCCUCAACUUAUGGAAAUGAAUGGUCUACAAACGAACACUUUUAAAGAUAUGAUGAAAAUUAUAACCAAUAUUGUGGAUAUAAUUGUCCAGGAGGUUGGUUCUAAAAUAGUGUGCCCUGGAAUAAGAUUUGUAACCACAAAUUUGAUGACUUCAGACAAGGUAGAACUCUUAAACAAAAUGUAUUUGAGCGGCAGCAUUACUGCCUAAUUCUUCAUUAAAUGGACAGCUUUCCACCUCCAAAGAGCCAUUUAAGUCCAGAGGACAAAUUGCUGGAUCUUGUGUUUGAGAGAAAAUGUUUUCCCUUUGCUGACUCCUGCCACAGUAUCCUUACUUGGGCUUAUUGGAGCCACUUUCCUUGUAUGAAGAUUGUCUUUGGACAGUGAAUUCCUUCUCCCAGUUUCUCCUACAAUAAACUUCCCACUGUUUCAGCA